GGCAGAGGAAGCCCGGUCCCCGUGGGUCCGGCGGCGUCGCCGCCCGACCUAUGAGGAAAGUCCCCCCACCCUCCGGGCAGGUGACCGGGCGCAAGCCCGGGGCGGGAGACCGCCGGCACUGGAACAGAAACGGGACCACCCGCUCCGACCGAUGAGGCGCGUCGGCCGUCGACACGGCCGACGGCGGUCGCGGGUAUCGCUCGCGACCGCGCGAACCGACCCGAGAGGGAAGAGAGUUAACCCGCCGAGGGACGCGCGAGCGGCUUCGGCCGCGAGCCGACGAGCGGGAACGGAUGGAACGGCGAAUCCUCACCGGUGCAAGCCCGCCGCAACUGGUAGCCCGGAGACGCGGCGGGCGCUCAGCCGAAUGCCGGGUCGAAACAGAAGGGGGCUUACUCUCCUCAGCC
rnacentral:RNase_P_RNA from 1 species